GACCGCGUGGCCGAGUGGAAAAGGCGUUAGAUUUCGGAUCCAAAGUUCGCAGGUUCGAGUCCUGCAGCGGUCA